rnacentral:rRNA from 1 species
CGAGCGCACCCUUGUCCUCAGUUACCAGCACGUUAUGGUGGGCACUCUGGGGAGACUGCCGGUGACAAACCGGAGGAAGGUGGGGACGACGUCAAGUCAUCAUGGCCCUUACGGCCAGGGCUACACACGUGCUACAAUGGUGCAUACAGACGGUUGCCAAGCCGCAAGGUGGAGCUAAUCUGAGAAAGUGCAUCGUAGUCCGGAUUGGGGUCUGCAACUCGACCCCAUGAAGUCGGAAUCGCUAGUAAUCGUGAAUCCGAAUGUCACGGUGAAUACGUUCCCGGGCCUU